AUUGAACGCUGGCGGCAGGCCUAACACAUGCAAGUCGAACGGUAACAGGAAGAAGCUUGCUUCUUUGCUGACGAGUGGCGGACGGGUGAGUAAUGUCUGGGAAACUGCCUGAUGGAGGGGGAUAACUACUGGAAACGGUAGCUAAUACCGCAUAACGUCGCAAGACCAAAGAGGGGGACCUUCGGGCCUCUUGCCAUCGGCUGUGCCCAGAUGGGAUUAGCUAGUCGGUGGGGUAACGGCUCACCUAGGCGACGAUCCCUAGCUGGUCUGAGAGGAUGACCAGCCACACUGGAACUGAGACACGGUCCAGACUCCUACGGGAGGCAGCAGUGGGGAAUAUUGCACAAUGGGCGCAAGCCUGAUGCAGCCAUACCGCGUGUAUGAAGAAGGCCUUCGGGUUGUAAAGUACUUUCAGCGGGGAGAAAGGGAGUAAAGUUAAUACCUUUACUCAUUGACGUUACCCGCAGAAUAAGCACCGGCUAACUCCGUG
rnacentral:rRNA from 1 species